AUACGGAGGGGGCUAGCGUUGUUCGGAAUUACUGGGCGUAAAGGGCGUGUAGGCGGUUCGAUCAGUCAGGCGUGAAAGCCCUGGGCUCAACCCAGGAACUGCGCUUGAUACUGUCAAACUUGAGUUCGGGAGAGGGUAGUGGAAUUCCCAGUGUAGAGGUGAAAUUCGUAGAUAUUGGGAAGAACACCAGUGGCGAAGGCGGCUCUCUGGUCCGUUUCUGACGCUGAGGUGCGAAAGCCAGGGUAGCGAACGGGAUUAGAAACCCCAGUAGUCC
rnacentral:rRNA from 1 species